rnacentral:rRNA from 1 species
AUUGAACGCUGGCGGAAUGCUUUACACAUGCAAGUCGAACGGUAGAGGGGGCAACCCCUCGAGAGUGGCGAACGGGUGAGUAAUAUAUCGGAACGUGCCCAGUCGUGGGGGAUAACGUAGCGAAAGUUACGCUAAUACCGCAUACGAUCUAAGGAUGAAAGCGGGGGAUCGCAAGACCUCGCGCGAUUGGAGCGGGCGAUAUCAGAUUAGGUAGUUGGUGGGGUAAAGGCACACAAAGACAACGAUAUGUAGCCGGUCUGAGAGGACGACCAGCCACACUGGAACUGAGACACGGUCCAGACUCCUACGGGAGGCAGCAGUGGGGAAUUUUGGACAAUGGACGCAAGUCUGAUCCAGCCAUUCCGCGUGCAGGAUGAAGGCCCUCGGGUUGUAAACUGCUUUUGUACGGAACGAAAAGGUCUCUCUUAAUACGGGGGACUCAUGACGGUACCGUAAGAAUAAGCACCGGCUAACUACGUGCCAGCCGCCGCUGUAA